AUGCCUUCCCUUCUCAUUUCUCUGGCAGAGAGAGAGAGAGCGAGACGGCUGCGCCUCUGCUCCCCCUCGCCUCUCGACGGCGGCCUCUGUACAGCUCGCCGGGCCACCUCGCCGCGCGCAGUUGCCGGCGACGGCCACCGCGCGAGCCUGUCUUUCCCUCCUCUUUUCUGUUCGUCUGUCCACCGCGCCGCGGAGAGAGAAAGCGUGAGACAAACCCACUUCUGCUCCCAUGUGCGCGACGACAGCGAUCCGUGGCGCCGUUGCCUCCCCUUCGCCGGUGACGCGUUUCCCUUAGCGGAAGCGCGCCGCCGUCGAACGGCGUGGCUGCGGUGCCCCCUUUGCCCUUUGCAGGGUGUUUGUCCUUCUUUCGGAUGCCUCGGCUUGCCGAUGCGCAUCUGA
rnacentral:rRNA from 1 species